rnacentral:lncRNA from 1 species
ACAAUGUAUCUGGCAUCGAAGAUCGGCUGAGCCCAAUCCGCUCGGCUAAAGACCGUUGACCUGAUAGAUUAAUAGAAACUUACGUAGUACGUACUAUGUAGUAGUAGGAUUAAUACUGGUUCUAUAGCUGGUCCGUGACUGACUGUCCACUCUGUGCGGAACCGAGAAAUUCAUUCCCUUAGGUAGCUUAGAUUGAGUAGAGGCUGUCGAGCACUGAGCUAUCGAAAAGGCGAUGCAUCAACGUCCAAGACUUGUCCGAUUCUGUAAUUUGCCGAUAGAAUGACCCAUCUGGUUUUCUAGAUUUAUCAAGUAUGGGCUAACACAGCCGAAAGGCAAAAAAGGAUGUCCUCUUACUCUAUGUGUCCUUCUAGAGCACAACGACCAGGGGUUAUUUUAGAUCUAUGAUAGAAAAGAAGCCUCCGAAACGCCACAAGUUGGCAGCUUGUACAUGGACGUUCGCCAAUCCGUCCCCGACUGACUCGGUAACUCGAUUUGAAACCCCUGGAGAUGUGUCACAGACACAAAAACAUGCGAACGUGGUGUAUGUAGUACAGAGGAUGAAGACAAUUAACUUCGAGACCUGGAAUAAAUGAAGAGGAAUGAAUGCCUCCCGUACUACGAGUAAACGAGCAGGACCCCCUAAAAUUACCGUAAGAACGCCAGCAAAACAGAACGAAGCAAAGUCGAGAGAGUGGGGUCACGCUGACAGCAAAGAUCCAGGGGUCUGGGAGAAGCAUUGUUAUUGGCUCUACGGAUUCUCAAACUGGCGCGGGCUAACAAUCUGAAAUUCUGAAUCACCCGUCUUCUGUUUCAGAAUGGACAGCCACUUGUCCUAACUGUACUAGGGCUGUAGUGGACAUCUGAGACAGCCGAAUAAACAGCCAGUAUGAAGUUAUGUACACAGCUACGUUCUUGGAGAUGCAUGUUGACGGCCCACUGUGCAUCUUGCAUACCUCGGUUGCGACCCCUCUCGACUUCAUCGACGCUGACACAGUGUGACUGCAGAAGUCAUCCCGAUGACCUUGCUGGUAGAACAGAAGAACAAAACAGCCCAAGAGACAAACUCAAAGAUCGUAUCAUUCUAAACUUUUCAGAGAAAUCAGGCGAGAAAUCGUUAGUAAUUCCCCGUUCUGGAAAUAUAACCUUAUCUUGUACCGGAUGCCGUUAUUUUCAGGCACUCAGGCCAACAUAGCCGUCACCUGGUCCGUACUGACUACGCUACGGAGGAGUUCGCUAGUCUGGCUGGCUAAUGGCUUAUUCCCCGAUAUACCUCCGAGGCACAUCCAGUUCUGUUGGAUCUGACUACGGACCACAACACAAGCCAAAGAAUGGCAUUGUUGAUCAGACAGGAACGAGUUCUCAGACAACACAACACGAACCUACCAAUGCGUCUACUUACAUGCAUGUCACUUCUCAUGCACGUGUUCCUGUGAGAAGCGUCAGGAACAGUCCUGAUCUGCAGAACCCUCUACUCCGUUCUCUGUACACACAAACAUGAAUAAUUGCUCGAUAAGAUGACGUUUGCUGUUCCUCUUUCUGAAACCAACAGAAUACGGGGUAGCCUGAAAAACGAAGCGUGCACAUAGCAGACUAAUCUAAGCUAGGUUUCGGAACUUUACGACCUGCAGAUGCCAGAUAGAUUCCAUUCCAUAGCCUCACUCAACACUGACCAACAGUUGAAGUGUGUCCAUUCUCGUGGCUAAGCUAGGCUGACCGACAGAAAUAUUCCGUAUAGAGUUAACUAUCUGCCCAGAGAAGCUAACCUACCAGCAUAGUGCUUACUGUGGAUUCCCAAGCAAGACGAUCACAGCUAGCAGAAGAAUCUACUCCUUAUUCGAAACAUUUCCCUGGCUUCUAUCCAUUCUCCGUAUCAGCUUCGGCUAACUUAUCUACUACGUACAAACCUACUUUGGUGUGGCUUGAGACAGGGUAGGGCAUCUGAUUGGCGAGUCCCUGACAGAAAUCUUAUACUUUGCACUAAAUCAGAACAGAACAAAACGGUGCCAGGUAGGGCCUCCUCAAAAAGGAAAGAGAGAAACCCCCAUGGUCAAAAGAUCC